CUGGAUUGCGCAUGGGCGCAGCCUGAUCCAGCGAUGCCGCGUGGGUGAUGAAGGCCUUCGGGUUGUAAACCCCUUUCGACCGGGACGAAAGUGACGGUACCAAUACGAAGAAGCCCCUGACAGUUCCCUGCGAACAACCGCGGGCAUAAUACGUGCCAUCAACCGCGGUAAUAA
rnacentral:rRNA from 1 species